rnacentral:rRNA from 1 species
GACAGCAGCCGCCGCGGGAAUACGUAGGUGGCAAGCGUUGUCCGGAAUUAUUGGGCGUAAAGGGCUCGCAGGCGGUUUCUUAAGUCUGAUGUGAAAGCCCCCGGCUCAACCGGGGAGGGUCAUUGGAAACUGGGAAACUUGAGUGCAGAAGAGGAGAGUGGAAUUCCACGUGUAGCGGUGAAAUGCGUAGAGAUGUGGAGGAACACCAGUGGCGAAGGCGACUCUCUGGUCUGUAACUGACGCUGAGGAGCGAAAGCGUGGGGAGCGAACAGGAUUAGAUACCCGCGUAGUCCCUGUCUCUUAUCC